UACGUAGGCAGCGAGCGUUGUUCGGAGUUACUGGGCGUAAAGGGUGUGUAGGCGGUUCUCUAAGUUUGGUGUGAAACUUCCCGGCUCAACUGGGAGGGUGCGCCGAAAACUGGAGGGCUAGAGUACGGGAUGGGAGGGUAGAAUUCCUUGUGUAGCGGUGAAAUGCGUAGAUAUCAAGAGGAAUACCGGUGGUGUAGACGGCUCUCUGGAACGUAACUGACGCUGAGACACGAAAGCGUGGGGAGCGAACAGG
rnacentral:rRNA from 1 species